rnacentral:tRNA from 1 species
UAAGUAUUUAGUCUAAAAAGAUUAUUGAUUUCGACUCAAUAGAUUCUGAUAUAUUCAGAAAUACUUU